rnacentral:lncRNA from 1 species
CUUCAGCAACACCUCUACAGGAAAUAGAGACUCUGUUCCUGGUUCCCAUGGCUACGAGUGGUUAGUUAGUGAGACGGGCGGAGACAGACCCUCCUCUCUGCUCUGCUACAGUCUUUAAUGAGGUCCCUUUAACACAAGAGGUCCCCUGUGGUCCCGUGACCCAAACCACAGAAUACUGCUUAGCGUUAACUAUGGUGACAGGUUCUCUGAUCGUUUGGUAGAACCCGUCUCGUCUCCUCUGGGUCUCAACCUAAAAACAUUUCAAUUGUUGACUUGUGCCAAGGUCCUCCUCUGUUACCCAGAACACACUGCUUCACCCAGACAGCGUCCCAACAGUCUAAAGCAGCUCGUCUUCUCCUCCUUCUCAUCUGAAAGUGUCCUGGUCACCCUGAAAGCUAAUUCCCUCAUCAUAUAUACUCUUUAUACCCGCUUUCACUUGUCCUGUGUUUUUCCUGCGCAGACGAAGGAGGGGUGAGGAGGCGAGAGGAAGAGAAGGGAGGAAGCAUCUUCAGACUAUUGAGAUUCAGCCGGCCUGAAUUCCCUCCAUUAUUCAAACAAUUCAGUUAGCGCUCUUGACAGAUAGCAUUUAGCCAACUGUUAGCUCUAGACAAUUAGCUAACCGUUAGCUCUAGACAAUUAGCUAACCGUUAUCUCUAGACAAUUAGCUAGCUAACCGUUAGCUCUAGACAGACAGCUAGCUAACCGUUAGCUCUAGACAGACAGCUAGCUAACCGUUAGCUCUAGACAGACAGCUAGCUAACCGUUAGCUCUAGACAGACAUUUAGCUAACCGUUAGCUCUAGACAGACAGCUAGCUAACCGUUAGCUCUAGACAGAGUUAGCCAACCGUUAGCUCUAGACAGAGUUAGCCAACCGUUAGCUCUUGACAGAUAGCAUUUAGCUAACCGUUAGCUCUAGACAGAUAGCAUUUAGCUAACCACGGACAGCUAGCUAACCGUUAGCUCUAG